rnacentral:rRNA from 1 species
AUUGAACGCUGGCGGCAGGCUUAACACAUGCAAGUCGAGCGGUAACAGGGAGUAGCUUGCUACUCUGCUGACGAGCGGCGGACGGGUGAGUAAUGCCUAGGAAUCUGCCUAGUAGUGGGGGAUAACUUGCCGAAAGGUAAGCUAAUACCGCAUACGUCCUACGGGAGAAAGGAGGGGACCUUCGGGCCUUUCGCUAUUAGAUGAGCCUAGGUCGGAUUAGUUAGUUGGUGAGGUAAUGGCUCACCAAGACCGCGAUCCGUAACUGGUCUGAGAGGAUGAUCAGUCACACUGGAACUGAGACACGGUCCAGACUCCUACGGGAGGCAGCAGUGGGGAAUAUUGGACAAUGGGGGAAACCCUGAUCCAGCCAUGCCGCGUGUGUGAAGAAGGUCUUAGGAUUGUAAAGCACUUUAAGUUGGGAGGAAGGGCAGUUAACUAAUAUUUGACUGUUUUGACGUUACCGACAGAAUAAGCACCGGCUAACUUCGUGCCAGCAGCCGCGG